AACGAACGCUGGCGGCAGGUCUUAGGCAUGCAAGUCGAACGGGUGUAGUAAUUCACCAGUGGCGAACGAGUGAGUAACGCGUGGGAAUCUGCCCAUCUCUGGGGAAUAACGUUUGGAAACGAACGCUAAUACCGCAUACGCCCGCAAGGGGAAAGAUUUAUCGGAGAUGGAUGAGCCCGCGUUGGAUUAGUUAGUUGGUGGGGUAACGGCCUACCAAGGCGAUGAGCCAUAGCUGGUCUGAGAGGACGAUCAGCCACGCUGGAACUGAGAUACGGUCCAGACUCAUACGGGAGGCAGCAGCUAAGAAUAUUGGGCAAUGGAGGAAACUCUGACCCAGCCAUGCCGCGUGAAUGAAGAAGGCCUUCGGGUUGUAAAGUUCUUUUAGUCGUGACGAUGAUGACGGUAGCGACAGAAAAAGCACCGGCUAACUUCGUGCCAGCAGCCGCCGUAA
rnacentral:rRNA from 1 species